ACUUGAUUGUGACGAUCUGGAUAAAAAUGCUGGUCAUCCAAACCUCAGUUCCACAAUCAAUGCCUGUGAUUCAUGACAGGUUUAUUGGCUCUCCUGGACCAGGCUUCUUAACAAGGUGAAGAUAUUUUUCCCUGUGUAGCACGAGGACUGGAAAUUUGUACUAUUGUCUGAUGCUUCAGAGAUGCUUCUCGGUGCCAGUUAUUGAUCCAUGUUGUUUGAUGACUAAGCCUGUAAGUCCUAUAAAGUGUAAGCGUAUGGAAGAUUGAUUCAAGAGUUGUCCAUUUGAACGGCAUGUCUUGUCCUUUGCAAAAUGGUAGUUUUGAUUUUCUCCCCUAGGUUACUCAUGCCCUUUCUAUAAAGAUCCAUAAGACUCAUCUACUUGAUUUUUGU